rnacentral:rRNA from 1 species
UACGGGGGAUGCAAGCGUUAUCCGGAAUCAUUGGGCGUAAAGCGCCUGUAGGUUGUUUAAUAAGUCUGUUGUUAAAGACUGGGGCUUAACCCUAGAAAAGCAAUGGAAACUGUUAGACUAGAGUAUGGCAGGGGUAGAGGGAAUUUCUAGUGUAGCGGUGAAAUGCGUAGAUAUUAGAAAGAACACCGGUGGCGAAAGCGCUCUACUGGACCAUUACUGACACUCAGAGGCGAAAGCUAGGGUAGCAAAAGGGAUUAGAUACCCCUGUAGUCCUAGCCGUAAACGAUGGAUACUAGAUGUUGUGUUUUAUAUACAGUGUCGUAGCUAACGCGUUAAGUAUCCCGCCUGGGAAGUACGCUCGCAAGGGUG